UUUUGCAAUAUUGUCUUGUUAUUAUCUUUAUAUUACAUGUACCUGCAAUCAAUGCUGUUUGAAAUUAUUUUCAAGUUAUUGGUUAAUGCUUUUUUUUAUAUGUUUUUAAACGCUUGAAAUUUUUAUUACGCUCUUUGGAAACUCACAGGAAAUGAAAAUGGAAGAAAUCAAUUACCAACUGAAUGUAUUGUGUAAGAGUUUGGAUGCUAUACUCCAAAACAUCUUUGGAACAAAGUAUUACAGUGACCUCAAAUAUUUUGCUACUCGCCAUCCCUUUGUUCUGACUGGUGUUAUAUCAGUCAGCAUAUUUUCAGCCAUUCCAUUCUUAUUUUUUCUUGGUUUUACUUUCAUUACUCUUUUCAUUGCAUUGUUAUGCUUUCUUUGCAUAGAAGGUUCAAUUAUAGCAGUUGGUGGUCUUAUUUUUGUUGGAAUUGUUUCCUUCAUAACCAUUAUUGUAGGGGCAAUCAUUUCAGCUAUGGCAGUGGGCUUCUGGAUUUUGCAACAAAUAAGACUUGCACUUAAAAGGGCGUCUAAAAUGAAAUGUCAGAAAAAUCCAUCUGCAGCAUCAGAAAAAAACAGCCCAGCACCUUCUAUUGAAGAAAUCUCAGAAGAAUAAGUUGUAUUCAGAAUCUUUAUUAUGAAAUGUUUGCUCACUAGAAAGCACUUAAUUUUGAUAUAAUAUUUGUUGCUCAUUUUAUAUUAUAUAUUUGUGUAAUAAAUUGUAUUUUUGUACUGUU